AUUGAACGCUGGCGGCAUGCCUUACACAUGCAAGUCGAGCGCGAAAGGGGGCAACCCCGAGUAGAGCGGCGGACGGGUGAGUAAUACAUCGGAACGUACCCAGUAGUGGGGGACAACCUCGAGAAAUCGAGGCUAAUACCGCAUACGACCCACGGGUGAAAGCGGGGGACCGCAAGGCCUCGCGCUAUUGGAGCGGCCGAUGUCCGAUUAGCUAGUUGGCGGGGUAAGAGCCCACCAAGGCGACGAUCGGUAGCUGGUCUGAGAGGACGACCAGCCACACUGGGACUGAGACACGGCCCAGACUCCUACGGGAGGCAGCAGUGGGGAAUUUUGGACAAUGGGGGCAACCCUGAUCCAGCCAUGCCGCGUGCGGGAAGAAGGCCUUCGGGUUGUAAACCGCUUUCGGCCGGAACGAAAUCGCCCGGGUGAACAUUCCGGGUGGAUGACGGUAC
rnacentral:rRNA from 1 species